UAAUACGGAGGAUCCAAGCGUUAUCCGGAAUCAUUGGGUUUAAAGGGUCCGUAGGCGGAUAGAUUAGUCAGCGGUGAAAGUUUGUGGCUUAACCAUAAAAUUGCCGUUGAUACUGUCUAUCUUGAAUAAGUGUGAAGUGGUUAGAAUGAGUAGUGUAGCGGUGAAAUGCAUAGAUAUUACUCGGAAUACCAAUUGCGAAGGCAGAUCACUAACACUUUAUUGACGCUGAGGGACGAAAGCGUGGGGAGCAAACAGG
rnacentral:rRNA from 1 species